rnacentral:rRNA from 1 species
CCCCGUAGUGGGGGACAACUUAUGGAAACGUAAGCUAAUACCGCAUACGCCCCCUUCCCGGGAGGGGAGGGGGGAAAGCGGGGGACCUUCGGGCCUCGCGCUAUGGGAUGGGCUUGCGUUGGAUUAGCUGGUUGGCGGGGUAAAGGCCCACCAAGGCGACGAUCCAUAGCUGGUCUGAGAGGACGACCAGCCACACUGGGACUGAGACACGGCCCAGACUCCUACGGGAGGCAGCAGUGGGGAAUAUUGGACAAUGGGCGGAAGCCUGAUCCAGCAAUACCGCGUGUGUGAAGAAGGCCUGAGGGUUGUAAAGCACUUUCAAUGGGGAGGAAAAAGCGCAGGCGAAUACCCUGCGUAUUGACAUUACCCAUAGAAGAAGCACCGGCUAACUCCGUGCCAGCAGCCGCGGUAAUACGGAGGGUGCGAGCGUUAAUCGGAAUUACUGGGCGUAAAGCGUGCGUAGGCGGCUUGCCAAGUCAGAUGUGAAAGCCCUGGGCUCAACCUGGGAACGGCAUUUGAAACUGGCGGGCUAGAGUUAGGUAGAGGGGGGCGGAAUUCCGGGUGUAGCGGUGAAAUGCGUAGAUAUCCGGAGGAACACCAGUGGCGAAGGCGGCCCCCUGGACCCAAACUGACGCUGGGGCACGAAAGCGUGGGU